UGCUGACGAGUGGCGGACGGGUGAGUAAUGUCUGGGAAACUGCCCGAUGGAGGGGGAUAACUACUGGAAACGGUAGCUAAUACCGCAUAACGUCUUCGGACCAAAGAGGGGGACCUUCGGGCCUCUUGCCAUCGGAUGUGCCCAGAUGGGAUUAGCUAGUAGGUGGGGUAACGGCUCACCUAGGCGACGAUCCCUAGCUGGUCUGAGAGGAUGACCAGCCACACUGGAACUGAGACACGGUCCAGACUCCUACGGGAGGCAGCAGUGGGGAAUAUUGCACAAUGGGCGCAAGCCUGAUGCAGCCAUGCCGCGUGUAUGAAGAAGGCCUUCGGGUUGUAAAGUACUUUCAGCGGGGAGGAAGGGAGUGAGGUUAAUAAGCUCAUUCAUUGACGUUACCCGCAGAAGAAGCACCGGCUAACUCCGUGCCAGCAGCCGCGGUAAUACGGAGGGUGCAAGCGUUAAUCGGAAUUACUGGGCGUAAAGCGCACGCAGGCGGUCUGUCAAGUCGGAUGUGAAAUCCCCGGGCUCAACCUGGGAACUGCAUUCGAAACUGGCAGGCUUGAGUCUCGUAGAGGGGGGUAGAAUUCCAGGUGUAGCGGUGAAAUGCGUAGAGAUCUGGAGGAAUACCGGUGGCGAAGGCGGCCCCCUGGACGAAGACUGACGCUCACGUGCGAAAGCGUGGGGAGCAAACAGGAUUAGA
rnacentral:rRNA from 1 species